rnacentral:rRNA from 1 species
AGUCCAUAUCGACGGGAUGGUUUGGCACCUCGAUGUCGGCUCGUCGCAUCCUGGGGCUGGAGCAGGUCCCAAGGGUUGGGCUGUUCGCCCAUUAAAGCGGCACGCGAGCUGGGUUUAGAACGUCGUGGGACAGUUCGGUCUCUAUCCGCCGCGCGCGUCAGAAGCUUGAGGAAACCUGUCCCUAGUACGAGAGGACCGGGACGGACGAACCUCUGGUCUACCAGUUGUCCCACCAGGGGCACUGCUGGAUAGCUA